CAAUAGCGUAUAUUAACGUUGUUGCAGUUAAAAAGCUCGUAGUUGGAUUUCUGGAGGGAGCGUCGGCCCGUAUUUACGAGUGCGUGACGUCUCUGUCCAUCCUUGCGGGAAGGCACGGCAUUGAUUUGUUGUGUCGGAUCGCAUCAUUUACUGUGAAAAAAUUAGAGUGUUCAAAGCAGGCUUUCGCUUGAAUACAUUAGCAUGGAAUAAUAAGAUAGGACUUUGGUGCUAUUUUGUUGGUUGAGCCUAAAGUAAUGAUUAAUAGGGAUAGUUGGGGGCACCUGUAUUGCGUUGUCAGAGGUGAAAUUCUUGGAUUUACGAAAGACAAACAGCUGCGAAAGCGUCUGCCAAGGAUGUUUUCAUUGA
rnacentral:rRNA from 1 species